GUGCAUGAUUAUAGCAUAAGGUUAAUGCAUUGGAUCCCAUUAGAACUCUAUAUUUAAGCACGCUCGUGCUAGAGUAGUACUAGGAUGGGUGACCACAUGGGAAGUCCUAGUAUUUUACAUG
rfam:Picea glauca, whole genome shotgun sequence.